rnacentral:rRNA from 1 species
AUGAUGAUGAUGUCCGACGACGACGAUGACUCGGACCCGCAGUUCAAUGUGGUGGCGGAUUACUUCUUCGUCGAUGCGGAGAAGAACCCCAUCUGUCUCUCAGCCUUGCCGAUUCGGUUCGAGCAAGGCACGGAUGAGGCCACUCAAUGCAAACAGAACAUCUUCUUGCGGGGAGUCGCUGACUCUGGCAUCACAGUUUACACGCAUGUGGUUGCCUGGAAGCUGGGGCUUGAAGGCAAGCAGCCCGUGAUCGCCGUGCUGUCCGUGGAAGGCAGCUGGAUAAAUCUCGCCAAGCCCAGGAACAGCUACGAAGAAGAGUUCCGAACAAUUUUCAUCACAGUGCGGAUGCUUCACUUCCUCAGAAGAAAACCUGAGGAGCCUGAGAAGAACAUGUGGAGUCAUCUUCGCAAAGUUUUUGACAAGUUUGACCUUAGACCCUCCAAGGACGAUUUCAGGAACCACCGUUCCCUAUUGAAGCUGUUUGCUGAGAAAGAUUUGAACUUAGCAAAAUCACAGGUUUUGCAAGCAUUUAUUGAAGAAGGAUCUAAGACGCAAAUUAGCGAGGUUGAGUCAGAUAAUAUUGAAAUGAAGCAGUCAUUUAUUGCCUCUGAUGAGGAGAUAGAGGAUAUGGUUUCUGAUGGAAAUUCUGAAUCUGAUGAAGAGGAGGAUGAUUUGUUUGAUUUUACUUGUGCCAUAUGUGACAAUGGAGGAGACUUGUUAGGGUGUGAUGGCCCAUGUAUGAGGUCCUUCCAUGCCAAAAUAGGCACAGGCGAAGAUUCGUAUUGUGAUACCCUUGGGUUCACUGAGGCAGAAGUUGAGGCAAUGAAAACUUUUCUGUGCAAGAACUGUGAGUAUAAGCAACACCAGUGCUUUAUUUGUGGAGUAUUAGAGCCUUCGGAUGGACCAACUGCUAAGGUGUUUCUUUGUAACAAUGCUACAUGUGGGUACUUUUACCACCCCAAAUGUGUUGCAAGAAAACUUCAUCCUAACAACAAGGUUGAAGCCUUAGAAAAGGAGAACAAGAUAAUAGGUGGAUCUUCAUUUACGUGCCCCAUUCAUUGGUGUUUUCACUGUAAAGGCUUGGAGGAUAGAUCACAAGAACAAUUGCAGUUUGCUGUUUGCAGACGCUGUCCAAAGUCAUAUCAUAGAAAAUGUUUGCCAAGAGAAAUACCCUUUGAAGAUAGCGACGAGGACAUUGUUACACGAGCCUGGGACCUUUCAAAAAGAAUUUUGAUCUACUGUUUGGACCAUGAGAUAGAUAGUGACAUUGAGACACCUGUCAGGAAUCAUAUAAAGUUUCCUGGUAUUCCAAAAAUUGUAAAACCAGCAGAUUACCUAAAGAGAAAAAACAAGGUGUUGAUUAACAAGAGAAAGAGAGAUUUUGAUGAAUCAUUUCCUGACCAACCUUCAAUUAAAGCUGCAAAGCUGCCAGUCAAGGUUCGGGUGCAAGAAGAACAUGCCAGAAAAUUUGCUGUGAAGAGUUCAUCGGAGCAAUUUGUUGACAAGCCUGAGAAGAAAAAACCAAAGGUCAAAGAUACUUCUGCAAGCAGUUCAAGACCUGCAAAUGAGCAGGAAAAAUACUUGGCAACUUCAUCCUUAUCUACUAUGGGGAGCUUGCCCCAGAGUUCAUUUCCUAGGGUGGACAGUGAAACAGAGAAGAGGGUAAUUGCUUUGGUAGAGAAAGAAGGCUCUUCCUUGACACUAAAAGAUAUAUCAAGCAGGUGCCUUGUGCCCUCAACUCAUGUAUACGCUGGCAGGCAAACUGAUAAGAUUGUUGCGACGGGCAAGCUUGAGCGUUCUGUUCAGGCUGUAGGAGCAGCUCUAAAAGCGCUUGGUAAUGGAGGUAAUGUUAAUGAGGCGAAAGCAGUGUGUGAACCUCAAGUUUUGAAGCAGCUAACAAAGUGGCAUACUAGGCUCAGAGUAUAUAUUUCACCUUUCAUUUAUGGAUCACGCUACAGUUCUUUUGGUCGACAUUUCACAAAGGUGGACAAGCUUGUUGAGAUUGUUGAUAAACUUAAUUGGUAUGUGGAACCUGGUGAUACGAUAGUGGAUUUCUGCUGUGGCGCAAAUGAUUUCAGUCGAUUGAUGAAAGAAAAACUUGAUGAAGUUGACAAGAAGUGUUAUUUCAAGAAUUAUGAUCUUAUCCAACCACAGAAUAGCUUUUGCUUUGAAAGGAGGGAUUGGAUGACUGUGCAGCCAGACGAACUGCCUGGCGGAAGCCGACUGAUAAUGGGGCUUAAUCCUCCUUUUGGAGUCAAAGCAGCUCUGGCGAACAAAUUUAUCGACAAAGCAUUGUCUUUUAAGCCCAAGCUUGUUAUACUAAUUGUCCCAAAAGAAACUAAAAGGUUAGAUCAAAAGAAGACACCUUAUGAUUUGGUUUGGGAGGAUAGUAACUGUCUUGCUGGGAAGUCGUUUUAUUUGCCUGGUUCUCUCGAUGUGAAUGACAAAAUAGUUCAAGGGUGGAAUGCAUCUGCACCACCCCUCUAUUUGUGGAGUCGUUCUGAUUGGACAAAAAAGCAUAAGGAAGUAGCCAAGAUGCAUAAUCACACAAGUGUGGGGAAAAUCACUCGCCGUGUUGAACAGGGUAAUUUGUCAGAUGACGGCCCUGCGAAGAAAGAAGCUGAAUCUUCUGAUGUGCUUAAUUCAAGAUCAGGGAAAGAAAAGGAGAAUAUAGGAAAUACCUCAUGCCACCCAAGAGAGGUCAAUCUAUCAGAUAAUGUACCUGCACGGAGAAAAGCUGAACCUAAGAGUAAACAAAAUGCUAGAUCAGGAAAAGCUAAAGAGACUAGAGAGAAGGCUACAUGUGAUUUCAGAGAGGAUAGUCCAUCAGGAAAAGCAGAAGAGAGAAGGCAUAAGGCGGCAUGCUCUGUCGGAGAGGUUAGUCCAUCAGAUGACCACCUUGUGAAGAAACAAGAUAGACUUGGAGAAGAGAAAGCAGCCAGAAAGGCCAACUUCACGGUGAAGAAGCAAGCUAGGCCCAGAGAAGAAAAAGAAGCUAAUCUAUCAGGUAACCACCCCCUGAAGAAACAAGCUGAAGCUACCUCUCAACAAAUUUCCCGACCAGGGAAACAGAAUAGCAGGGAUGGAAGCAAGAGCUCUGAUGACAGGAGCAGGAAAAGGAUCCCUGACGAGGCAGACAGCCUCCCUCCAGAAAAGCAAGUGGAAGUUGCCUAUGAGGAGACAAGAGCUAUUCCAAGUAAAAGGGGUAUGCACCAUGGACAGAGCAAUGGAACUAAUGCUCGUGUAAAGGAAUCGAAAGGGAGUUCAGACAUGAGUAUGUCAUCAUCCCUUGAAAACAGCACUGCUCGUCACAGAUCCAGAAGCAAUUCCCCAUUUAUACCAACUGAACAACCCUCUGGUUAUACGACAGCGCACCGCGAUAGUAAUAUGAAGUAUCAUGUGAAAGAACCUCGCGUCUCUACAUUCAACAGCGCUACUACUUAUCAGGGAAGUUAUUUGGCAAACAGUGAUGGGCGCAAGGAUGCAAUUGGAGAGAGGAAUGACCCCACUUUUUACACGGGUGCUGAUGAUAGGUCAAGUGCGUACAACUCUAGCAUUGAAGAGAUGACCAAAAGGUAUGCCCCUGGCCGAGCUGGGGACGCGUGCAGUCCGCAAGGUCAGGGAAAUGGUGGCAGCUUCUCCAGGAGGCAGGAUGAUCACCUUCAGACCAGUCUUUACUCCCUUGGUUCUUCAGGUGCUAGAUAUGACCAGAUUGGUUCUUCAGGUGCUAGAUAUGACCAGAUUGUUUCUUCAGGUGCAAGAUAUGACCCGCGAUCUUUAACUUCGCCGUCUUAUGGGCUAUUGAGUACAACUCCACGGAGCUCAGUCAUAGACAAGUACAGUCCAGGGUUCUCGGGUUCAAGUGGAUCUGGACCGUCAGUCAUGGACAGCUACGCUCCUGGUUACUUGGGCGCAAAUGCACCAGGAAGAAGCUUGGUAAUGGACAGAUAUGCUCCACCCCUCGAUGAAACGAACUACGCAAUGCGAGGUGUUCAUGAUGUGCCUGGAUAUGGAAGGGACAUGCCUCCACAGUACCCCUACAGAGGGCCAGAUCCUUCUGGCAGAGGGCCGCCUCAUAUUUGA